GUGCAGUGGGGGAUCUGAGAAUCAUUAUAUUUCUGUCUGAAUUCUUCUUUGUCUUGUUAGUGCUGAUUUUACACAUCUUUUCACCCUGGAUUCCCAUAAGAAAAGGGUCUCAAAUGGGUUCUCAGACUGCUGCAGGAGCUCAUGAAAUGAAACCUCUUUCUGCACAUGAUUCUUUAAUCCCACAAACAUGAGAGAAACAACUAUUACCACAGUGAUCCCACUGACUGUAUGAACCUUUGAAGAUAAAAUUCUCAUGAGCUGAGAAUGAAGAUGGUUUGGUAUUGUGUACUGUCAUGCUGUAAAAAGAGAACAGGGGCAGUUUUUUGCCUUUAUUAGUGAGGACAUUAGAGAUAAACAGAAAAAUGGAGGAUGACAAAGGAUUGGGAGGAAUGGGAUUGGACAUGACCACAGCGGAUUCAAACUAGGAUUCUUUUCUUUUUCUUCUUUUUUUCCUUUGUUACAUUAUAUUUAUUGUAGAGUCUCUUUAUGUGUUGUGAGAAUGCAUGUAACCGGUGGUUUGCGUUGACAAGCGUAAGCGUGUAGAUUUGUGGAGUUAGCGAAACUGAUACCUGCUGUCCGGUGUCUAUCUUUUAUUCCCAAUACAAAAGAGCAAAUAAGCAGCCUCUUUGAGUGUGAAUCACCCUUGUUUUCUCUCCCAUUUAGUUAUAAUGCAAAAGGGCAAAUCACAGUAUACAGGAAAAUAGUGAACAGAAAACCAUGCCUGAUACAAAAGAACAAAUAAGCAGUCUCUUUAAGUGUGAAUUGUCCUUGUUUUCAGGAAAAUAUACACAAAACUUAACUUAAAAAAAGUAAAAUGAAAAAAAUAAUCACAGUAAAAUAACAUUAUACACAUAAAUUGGGUUGAAAAUAUAGACAUAAAAGCAAUAUUUACAAUAAAGAUUAUCAAAAACCAAAACGAAACCUACCUGCGUCGUAACUUUGCAGAUGUUGUUUAUGCUCAAACAGCAAAAUUAUUUUAUUUUAAAGAAUUCUCAGUUUAAGGACUACAACAAAUGAUUGGUAGCUUCUUCCUGGGUUAGUGACACCAUUAACCCUAAAAUUCACAUAAACCUUGCCGCAACAAGAACAAGAACUCACAACAAAGGGGAUGAGGCCAUGUAGGGCUGUUAAAGCUCCACCCUCUUCUGGAAAGGGGGC